rnacentral:rRNA from 1 species
UACGAAGGGGGCUAGCGUUGUUCGGAAUUACUGGGCGUAAAGCGCCCGUAGGCGGUCUGUUAAGUCAGGGGUGAAAUCCCGGGGCUCAACCCCGGAACUGCCUUUGAUACUGGCAUUCUCGAGUCCGGAAGAGGUGAGUGGAAUUCCGAGUGUAGAGGUGAAAUUCGUAGAUAUUCGGAGGAACACCAGUGGCGAAGGCGGCCCACUGGGCCGGGACUGACGCUGAGGCGCGAAAGCGUGGGGAGCAAACAGG